rnacentral:rRNA from 1 species
UAAAAAGGGGGGGCCCACACCGCGGUAAUACGUAGGGUGCAGCGUUAUCCGGAAUUAUUGGGCGUAAAGGGCUCGUAGGCGGUUCGUCGCGUCCGGUGUGAAAGUCCAUCGCUUAACGGUGGAUCCGCGCCGGGUACGGGCGGGCUUGAGUGCGGUAGGGGAGACUGGAAUUCCCGGUGUAACGGUGGAAUGUGUAGAUAUCGGGAAGAACACCAAUGGCGAAGGCAGGUCUCUGGGCCGUUACUGACGCUGAGGAGCGAAAGCGUGGGGAGCGAACAGGAUUAGAUACCCUGGUAGUCCACGCCGUAAACGGUGGAUGCUGGAUGUGGGGCCCGUUCCACGGGUUCCGUGUCGGAGCUAACGCGUUAAGCAUCCCGCCUGGGGAGUACGGCCGCAAGGCUAAAACUCAAAGAAAUUGACGGGGGCCCGCACAAGCGGCGGAGCAUGCGGAUUAAUUCGAUGCAACGCGAAGAACCUUACCUGGGCUUGACAUGUUCCCGACGGUCGUAGAGAUACGGCUUCCCUUCGGGGCGGGUUCACAGGUGGUGCAUGGUCGUCGUCAGCUCGUGUCGUGAGAUGUUGGGUUAAGUCCCGCAACGAGCGCAACCCUCGCCCCGUGUUGCCAGCGGAUUAUGCCGGGAACUCACGGGGGACCGCCGGGGUUAACUCGGAGGAAGGUGGGGAUGACGUCAGAUCAUCAUGCCCCUUACGUCCAGGGCUUCACGCAUGCUACAAUGGCCGGUACAACGGGAUGCGACGCGGCGACGCGGAGCGGAUCCCUGAAAACCGGUCUCAGUUCGGAUCGCAGUCUGCAACUCGACUGCGUGAAGGCGGAGUCGCUAGUAAUCGCGAAUCAGCAACGUCGCGGGAAUGCGACCCCGGUCAUGU